UACGUAGGGGGCAAGCGUUUGUCCGGAUUUAUUGGGCGUAAAGCGCGUGUAGGCGGCCGUGCAAGUCGGGUGUGAAAGCCCUCGGCUCAACCGAGGAAGUGCACCCGAAACUGCUGAGCUUGAGUGCCGGAGAGGAUGGCGGAAUUCCCCAAGUAGAGGUGAAAUUCGUAGAUAUGGGGGAGGAACACCGGGUGGCGAAGGCGGCCAUCUGGACGGUAACUGACGCUGAGACACGAAAGCGUGGGGAGCAAACAGG
rnacentral:rRNA from 1 species